AAAGCAUGUUACGGUUCUUUUUUCUUUCUGUUAGCUCUCAAUUAACCUUAAACUUUCUUCCUCUUAUUCAGGUGAUCAAGAUUAGAGGAAUGAUGAAGCUAAGCCGCCAGGUCACUUACGUUGGCCGCACAUGCUAGCAGAUCAGCUGCGUGGCCUAAGUUUGAGAGAAAUUGGUGGUGGAUUUUCUAAGCACCAUCUAUUCGUGCGGCAUGUUAUGUCAUUGCAAAACCAUCCACUAUGGUGCAGAAAUACAAAAUUUUUAAAAAGUUUGAGGACAUCGAAUGCAGUUUAUUGUGUUGUAUCGUCUCUCGCUCCUGUGGCCAUAUAUAUGACAAGGACGAAGCCAUCAUUGACAUGAGAAUCGUCCAUUCAAGUGGCAAGAAGCUAAGCACGAAGUACUUGAUCGUAUGAAAGGAUUUGCCAGCGAGAAAAGCUACUAGGGAGAAAGAAAGAUACUUGUAAAAAUUACAAGACGACAAACAUACAUGACGAAUAUUUGCGCCGAGGAUGUCACAACAAUAGGUGGGGGAGUGUGUCACAACCCAACAUAUAUAGCUUGUGGUGAACUUUGAAUCCAGUUAAAGUUGUGUAAGUUUGUUUUUGAAAUCACUGAUAGAUCAUAUUUAUGGUAUUCGAAUUGAUUGCGA